AUGCUUUGGAAAUUGACGGAUAAUAUCAAGUACGAGGACUGCGAGGACCGUCACGACGGCACCAGCAACGGGACGGCACGGUUGCCCCAGCUGGGCACUGUAGGUCAAUCUCCCUACACGAGCGCCCCGCCGCUGUCCCACACCCCCAAUGCCGACUUCCAGCCCCCAUACUUCCCCCCACCCUACCAGCCUAUCUACCCCCAGUCGCAAGAUCCUUACUCCCACGUCAACGACCCCUACAGCCUGAACCCCCUGCACGCCCAGCCGCAGCCGCAGCACCCAGGCUGGCCCGGCCAGAGGCAGAGCCAGGAGUCUGGGCUUCUGCACACGCACCGGGGGCUGCCUCACCAGCUGUCGGGCCUGGAUCCUCGCAGGGACUACAGGCGGCACGAGGACCUCCUGCACGGCCCACACGCGCUCAGCUCAGGACUCGGAGACCUCUCGAUCCACUCCUUACCUCACGCCAUCGAGGAGGUCCCGCAUGUAGAAGACCCGGGUAUUAACAUCCCAGAUCAAACUGUAAUUAAGAAAGGCCCCGUGUCCCUGUCCAAGUCCAACAGCAAUGCCGUCUCCGCCAUCCCUAUUAACAAGGACAACCUCUUCGGCGGCGUAGUGAACCCCAACGAAGUCUUCUGUUCAGUUCCGGGUCGCCUCUCGCUCCUCAGCUCCACCUCGAAGUACAAGGUCACGGUGGCGGAAGUGCAGCGGCGGCUCUCACCACCCGAGUGUCUCAACGCGUCGCUGCUGGGCGGAGUGCUCCGAAGGGCGAAGUCUAAAAAUGGAGGAAGAUCUUUAAGAGAAAAACUGGACAAAAUAGGAUUAAAUCUGCCUGCAGGGAGACGUAAAGCUGCCAACGUUACCCUGCUCACAUCACUAGUAGAGGGUAAGCGAAUCCACUUGCUAACUAGAAGGAACUUCCUUCUUGGAAAAUGGAUAAUAUUUAGUGGCCAGAUGUUUGGUUGUAUUUUAUGUCAGUUGGGCAGUUUCAUCUUUGCAGAGAAUAUAGCCAGAUGUGACUGGAAUUCUUUCAUGGCAAAAAGAAACAUUUGCAUGUACUCCUAUACCUCCAUCCUUCUUCCUUCUUUUCCUCUACCAUAAAGUUACACCUCCCCAGCCUAAUUCUGAGCUAAACAAUGCACAAGUUUAAGAACUGCACAUUCUCCAAGUUUCUGUCUCCUUUAAAGGGCUCAGCAGUAAAUAACUUGUUAUUCUGACAUCUGCAUUUGAGAAAUGCGUGACCAUUACUUCCUGAAUUAAUUUAGGAAUCUUUGACCUGCGUCCUGAUUUAAGACCAUCCUGAAAGCUCAGGGUUAUGUGCCCUUUCAGGUUUUUGUUUUCCAAACAUAUGC
rnacentral:sRNA from 1 species